GUUGGGAAGGAAUACCAAGAGGAAAGGAAUAGAAAUGACCUCAGGGAGCAACAUCAACCCCAGCAGUUGAUUCUCUGCUUGUUCAUUAGAAUACACAGCCCUUGUUGUACGAUGACACAUUAAUCAACAAAGGACAUGCGUUAAAGCCUCGUAAUUGUUUAGAGGAGUUCAAAUAAUAUCUUUUUGUAGGAAUUUUAGCAUACAAAAUUUAAAUUAUCCCCAUAAGAGAAUCAUGACAUGAUGAUUUUCCCUUGUGAAGAAAUGUAAAAUGAGAACAGUAAAUGUACUAAAGAACUACGAUGGUUUUUUUUUUUUUUUU
rnacentral:misc_RNA from 1 species